GAUUUCAGAACGAUGGACAGAGCUGUUCGGCCAGCCUACAGGGAAGAAAGAAAAGGAGAAACAAUUUUAUCGUGUCUGCCUCCUGCCCCAGAGAAGGAUGAGGAUACUGAAGGUCGGUGAAGCUUCAUAAACUGCCCGAGUGAAGAUGAAAUGAGACCAGAGCUCAGGUAAUCAACUGUGGCUUCUCAAAGAGUAUCUUCACAGAGGACUGCAAAAAGGACAAACCAAAUGCCUCAAGACCAUUUGGGAGCCUGCUGACAUGGUCAAGGUAAAAGAAGCUAAAGGCUGACAUGGUCAAGGUAAG